rnacentral:rRNA from 1 species
GGACAACAGUUGGAAACGACUGCUAAUACCGCAUAAGCCCACGGGUCGGCAUCGACCUGAGGGAAAAGGAGUGAUCCGCUUUGAGAUGGCCUCGCGUCCGAUUAGCUAGUUGGUGAGGUAAUGGCCCACCAAGGCGACGAUCGGUAGCCGGACUGAGAGGUUGAACGGCCACAUUGGGACUGAGACACGGCCCAGACUCCUACGGGAGGCAGCAGUGGGGAAUAUUGCACAAUGGGGGAAACCCUGAUGCAGCGACGCCGCGUGGAGGAAGAAGGUCUUCGGAUUGUAAGCUCCUGUUGUUGAGGAAGAUAAUGACGGUACUCAACAAGGAAGUGACGGCUAACUACGUUCCAGCAGCCGCGGUAAAACGUAGGUCACAAGCGUUGUCCGGAAUUACUGGGUGUAAAGGGAGCGCAGGCGGGAAGACAAGUUGGAAGUGAAAUCUAUGGGCUCAACCCAUAAACUGCUUUCAAAACUGUUUUUCUUGAGUAGUGCAGAGGUAGGCGGAAUUCCCGGUGUAGCGGUGGAAUGCGUAGAUAUCGGGAGGAACACCAGUGGCGAAGGCGGCCUACUGGGCACCAACUGACGCUGAGGCUCGAAAGUGUGGGUAGCAAACAGGAUUAGAUACCCUGGUAGUCCACACCGUAAACGAUGAUUACUAGGUGUUGGAGGAUUGACCCCUUCAGUGCCGCAG